rnacentral:lncRNA from 1 species
AAAGCUUUGUACCAUUGACAUUGCUGGAUUUCUUUUGGAUAGAAAUCUAGAAAAAGAAAUUACAGAACUUCCAUUCUCUCAUCAUACAAUAUUUCACCAAUUUAGAGAUUUCUCUGCCAAACUGAAAAUGAUGCUAAUCUCUCAGAUGCAGGACCUGACGUUGCAUUAAAAGUGAGUGAAUCUGCAUGUCUGUCUGAGCUUGCCCUUCUGCUUAUAUUUGUCUGGACCAGCAGCAAGUAUCCACCAAAGACUUAUUUUCCUCUGCUGAAGAUGUCACAUUGUCCUCCAACUUGGCGUCCUUUGGAGCAGCUAGAAUUCCAGGAUAUGAGAAGAUCACAUAAAACAGUACUGCUUCAUACUGAACUGUGAAGGUCACAGAAAUCAAUUUUGUUAGUGUUUGAGUUCUGAACUAACAUAAUAACUCUCCUUUUGCCUGGAAAACACCUCUUUUAGUUGAAAGAUCAACUAACAUACAAACUGCGAGAUAUUUGGAUUUUAGUGUUUGGCAGAUGUUUUCUCAAAAAUGAAUUCAGUGGGUUUGUCACUUCAAGGAAAACAAUUGACAGGAUUUGCAGCCUAAGACAAAAUUGAGUUGUCAAGCAAAAUGUAGAGCUUCAGAAAACUUUUGUUUGUCUUGCAGGCUUAACAGCUUUUCAGUAUUCAAAAAUGUAGCUGAUGAGAUCACUGAUGAUAUGAAUGAAUGCAGGUUUUUGGAUAGACACAAGGAAAAGCAUGUUUGGCAGAAAGUGGACAGUAGCCUCUAAAUCAUUAAUGAGUGGUGUUCCAAAAUCAUGAAGAGCUAAAAGAACUAUUAACCAGCAAGAUGCCAAUGGGUUUAACAUAAAAGACCACAGAAUGUGCAUUGAUUUGGGUCUAGAUUCCAGCCUACACCUAAUAUUUACAAAAGUACACUUGUUGAUUUUGAGUGUCAGAUCAAAGAAGAAUGCUGACAUUUACCUGAAAAGAUUUUGUGGUACUUAGCAGUAUUUUUCAAAAGCUCUUGUCUUUCUUACUGUUGUGUAUCUCAGUAAGCCUGUACAUUUUUGUGCAUUUCAAUCAA